rnacentral:ribozyme from 12 species
ACGAAAGAAGAAGUAGUAGAAGCGAGAGUAGAAACGAUGGCAAGAGAAAUCUUCAUUUUGAAUUGUUCUGUUUUGUUUUGCUUGUUUUGUUUU